rnacentral:rRNA from 1 species
UACGUAGGAGGCAAGCGUUGUCCGGAAUUACUGGGCGUAAAGCGCGUGUAGGUGGUGGGACAAGUCUGCUGUGAAAGCGCCUGGCUUAACCGGGCGAGGUCGGCGGAAACUGUUCGACUCGAGGACGGUAGAGGGGGGUGGAAUUCCCGGUGUAGUGGUGAAAUGCGUAGAGAUCGGGAGGAACACCUGUGGCGAAGGCGGCCCCCUGGCCGGCCCUGACACUGAGACGCGAAGGCGUGGGGAGCGAACGGG